rnacentral:rRNA from 1 species
UACAGAGGGGGCAAGCGUUGUUCGGAAUUACUGGGCGUAAAGGGCGCGUAGGCGGCCGCCUAAGUCAGACGUGAAAUCCCUCGGCUCAACCGGGGAACUGCGUCUGAUACUGGGUGGCUUGAAUCCGGGAGAGGGAUGCGGAAUUCCAGGUGUAGCGGUGAAAUGCGUAGAUAUCGGGAGGAACACCUGUGGCGAAAGCGGCGCACUGGACCACAACUGACGCUGAGGCGCGAAAGCUAGGGGAGCAAACAGG